rnacentral:lncRNA from 1 species
AGUCCGGCCGGCGCCAUGAAGGUCAUGGAGUCCUGGAGAUGCCCUCAGGCACCGGGAAGACAGUAUCCCUGUUGGCCCUGAUCAUGGCAUACCAGAGAGUGAGUGAUGCGCUGAACCCGUAAAGGCAGACAAAGGAAGGGGCGGGACAGGGACUGAGUCCGCUUGUUAUCGGCAGGCAUAUCCGCUGGAGGUGACCAAACUCAUCUACUGCUCAAGAACUGUGCCAGAGAUUGAGAAGGUGAUUGAAGAGCUUCGAAAGUUGCUCAACUUCUAUGAGAAGCAGGAGGGCGAGAAGCUGCCGUUUCUGGGACUGGCUCUGAGCUCCCGCAAAAACUUGUGUAUUCACCCUGAGGUGACACCCCUGCGCUUUGGGAAGGACGUCGAUGGGAAAUGCCACAGCCUCACAGCCUCCUAUGUGCGGGCGCAGUACCAGCAUGACACCAGCCUGCCCCACUGCCGAUUCUAUGAGGAAUUUGAUGCCCAUGGGCGUGAGGUGCCCCUCCCCGCUGGCAUCUACAACCUGGAUGACCUGAAGGCCCUGGGGCGGCGCCAGGGCUGGUGCCCAUACUUCCUUGCUCGAUACUCAACAACGUCUGCAUCGACUCCAUGAGCGUCAACCUCACCCGCCGGACCCUUGACCGGUGCCAGGGCAACCUGGAGACCCUGCAGAAGACGGUGCUCA